GUAGGUUCAUAGAGGAGAUCUUAGUAUUUAGUUGAAAAAAAAAUAAUCAGAACAAAAGAAAAAAAAGUAAGAACUCCUCUUAGUAUACUCAAACUACUAAGUUUAAGAGACGCUAUGUGUCAUCAUUCUAUUGUGUGAACAAAAUAAUACAAAAGGAAAACAAAAAAUUUGGGAAAGAUCGAUUGAUUUUAUUCUUUUUCUUCUCUCUCUUUCUCUUGCGAUUGAAUCCCCGAAACGAGAAAACAAUUUGGAAUCAGAAGCUUCAAGGUUAGGAAUCGAAGGACCUGGAAUCAGAGCAAGGGUUUGGAUUCGAUGGGAAUGGAGAGAAGGCGAUUUGAAUCGAGUUUGGAAUCAGAGGAAGCAAAUCGAUUUGCAAGCCAAUCACGAAAGAAAGAAUCGAGUUUCAUUGGAGAUGGAUGCCGUUUGAAUUUGGAGUCAAAUAAAUCGGAAGAGAUUGAAUCAAUAGAUGUUGCCAGGUUACUUUCUCAAUACAAUUGUAUGAAUCGCAAAUUGUUUUAUGAUUAGGGUUCUUAGAUUUUGGAUUGCAAAUUAGGGUUAUUUGAUGUGUGUUGGAAAAUGAGGGAUCUUGGUGCUACAUUUAUGUUUAAUGUUUGAUCUCAUAUGCUUGUGACGGGGAUUUUGAUAAUGUGAAAUGCUUCCCUUCUGUUUAGGUAUAUUGAGCUUGAAAGAUGUCUUUGAUCUUGUGGUUACCUGAUGUAAUCUCUUUAGCGGUUUCUUAUUUCGCUUUGUUUCCUUUUUAGGGUUCUUAUUUCCCUAUUGCUUGAUGUUUUUUCUUUUCUAUUUAGAUUGUAGAGGUUCAAGGCAUUGUGGGAGGGAAAGAUGGGUUCCCUAUAUCGUGUUUUUGGUUACUUUGCAUCUAUACACCUUUUUACUUGUUUAUUUAAAAUUGGCUCUUGUUUGAUGAGGUGUGGUUUUUCCUUUGUGUCUGUGUUUUCCAGAUUUUCUUCACAGAUUACCUCACUCAGAAUAAAGAUGAUCAUAGAUUCCUCCCAAACGAGUUUAUUCUUAUGACUUGUCCUUUUACCUAGUUUUUGUAUUGAAUGCUAUUAUAUAUCUUAGGAUUGUUAACUCUGAGCUUGUCAGGUUAAAAGGCUCGAGAUAUGCUUUAAUCCUCUUUCUCUUAGCGAUCUGCAGCUAUUUCAGAAAAUUUGACCCCUGGGUUGUGGAUUGUGCUAACAUGUAUUUUUAACAUGAUUUGGACUUGUUAUUGGAUGUUUUAAGUUAAAAGUAAUAUUGCUGAUCUUCUUAGUGAUGUUAGCAUUUCUGUUUGAAGCUUAAGGCCAUGUCUUUUGUUAUAGAUAGUCGUCAAUGUUCUAAAAGAGAAAUGCUUUAGGUUACUAACUGGUUUUUUUCCGCUUUAUCUCUGUUGGUGUUAUCUCUCAUGCUACAUAUAUUUUUAGUGUUUGAUCGCACUCAUAUAUUCGUGUGACGAUGGCCUUUCUUUUAUGUGAAAUGCUCCCCUUCUUGGUAGGUAUAUUGACGAUGCAAAUGAAGCAAUCUUUUGAUUCAUACUUACAUGAUUUCGAAGUGUGUUUCUUUUCCUGAGCUGUGAACUUUGACGGUGGAGAGUGUCUUUUGCUUUUGUGUUUGGUGGUUGUGCUUUUCAUGAAAAAUCUACAAGAUUCAUCAUAAACAAUCUUGGCGGCUGCAGUUUCCCUGUUUGGUUCAGGACUAAUCCGAAGAGAAAGCUUAUCGACGAAUAAAUUGUUCAUCGAAAAGAGCGGAGUUCAAGUCUCUGAAGCUAAAUGGAAAGGAGAAAGUAGUGAACUGAAGAUUAUGAAUCAAUUUGCUUCCCCUUCGAAACAAUGACAAGAACUCCCCUACCAAUCUGAAUCACGGUAUGGUUUCCCCUUCGAAUCUGAUUAAGGGUUCGUUCUUCAUCGUUGCUUUUUUUUGUAUUGUUGCAUUGAGGAACCAAUCAAAAAUCCCCAGUUUUGGUCAGUGUACAUAUUUUUCUUUAUUAUUUUCACCCAAAAUGUAAUUUUCACUUAUUGAUGAUGAAAUAAAGUUUAGGUUUGAACAAAUUAUCUAUUUUUUUUUCA